AUAUUUAUUUGGCAUAGAGAUUAUGAAGGCAGUUCCAGAAUGAAGCUCUUUCAUUACAUUACAGUUGAGCUAACCUCUACGAAUUCUCCUAAUAUGGGUAUCUCGGACAUAUAAUUUUUGUUAGUCGGGACUGCGUUUGUGCUCUACCAGU